GUACAGUACUUUCAGCGGGGCGGAAGGGAGUAUAGUUAAUACCUUUGCUCAUUUACGUUACCCGCAGACGAAGCACCGGCUAACUCCGUGCCAGCAUCCGCGGUCAUACGGAGGGUGCAAGCGUUCAUCGUACUUCCUGUGCGUACUGCGCACGCAGGCUGCUUGUCAAGCUCGCUGCCCACUCCCAGUGUCCACCCUGGUAAUCGGCUCUUGUCCUUGCACGCUUCAUGCCCGUCGUGGCGCGCAGAACUCAAGG
rnacentral:rRNA from 1 species